CAACAAGUAUUUUAUUAAAAAUAUUAGUUUUGGGUAUUAGAGAUGUGGAAUUUUCACCUUGUUGA
rnacentral:tRNA from 2 species